rnacentral:rRNA from 1 species
AGUGAACGCUGGCGGUAGGCCUAACACAUGCGAGUCGAACGGCAGCACAGUAGGAGCUUGCUCUUACGGGUGGCGAGUGGCGGACGGGUGAGGAAUACAUCGGAAUCUACUUUUUCGUGGGGGAUAACGUAGGGAAACUUACGCUAAUACCGCAUACGACCUACGGGUGAAAGCAGGGGAUCUUCGGACCUUGCGCGAUUGAAUGAGCCGAUGCCGGAUUAGCUAGUUGGCGGGGUAAAGGCCCACCAAGGCGACGAUCCGUAGCUGGUCUGAGAGGAUGAUCGGCCACACUGGAACUGAGACACGGUCCAGACUCCUACGGGAGGCAGCAGUGGGGAAUAUUGGACAAUGGGCGCAAGCCUGAUCCAGCCAUACCGCGUGGGUGAAGAAGGCCUUCGGGUUGUAAAGCCCUUUUGUUGGGAAAGAAAAGCAGCAGGUUAAUACCCCGCUGUUCUGACGGUACCCAAAGAAUAAGCACCGGCUAACUACGUG